rnacentral:tRNA from 1 species
CAGGGCAUAGCGCAGCUUGGUAGCGCGGCGGUUUUGGGAACCGCAGGUCGCAGGUUCAAAUCCUGCUGCUCUGA